CACGAACCGUACGAACGUUAUUCGGAAUCACUGGGCUUAAAGGGUGCGUAGGCGGCCUUGCAAGUUGGGUGUGAAAGCCCUCGGCUCAACCGAGGAAUUGCGCCCAAAACUGCCGGGCUUGAGGGAGACAGAGGUAAGCGGAACUUAGGGUGGAGCGGUGAAAUGCGUUGAUAUCCUAAGGAACACCAGUAGCGAAAGCGGCUUACUGGGUCUCAUCUGACGCUGAGGCACGAAAGCUAGGGGAG
rnacentral:rRNA from 1 species